rnacentral:rRNA from 1 species
AACGAACGCUGGCGGCAGGCUUAACACAUGCAAGUCGAACGCACCGCAAGGUGAGUGGCAGACGGGUGAGUAACACGUGGGGAUCUGCCCAAUGGUACGGAAUAGCUCCGGGAAACUGGAAUUAAUACCGUAUGUGCCCGCAAGGGGAAAGAUUUAUCGCCAUUGGAUGAACCCGCGUCGGAUUAGCUAGUUGGUGUGGUAAAGGCGCACCAAGGCGACGAUCCGUAGCUGGUCUGAGAGGAUGAUCAGCCACACUGGGACUGAGACACGGCCAGACUCCUACGGGAGGCAGCAGUGGGGAAUAUUGGAAAAUGGGCGCAAGCCUGAUCCAGCCAUGCCGCGUGAGUGAUGAAGGCCUUAGGGUUGUAAAGCUCUUUCGCCGACGAAGAUAAUGACGGUAGUCGGAGAAGAAGCCCCGGCUAACUUCGUGCCAGCAGCCGCCGUAACAC